rfam:Ipomoea nil DNA, scaffold: scaffold3100, cultivar: Tokyo-kokei standard.
GCACCAGUGAUUAAGUGGUAGAAUAGUACCUUGCCACGGUACAGAACCGGGUUCGAUUCUCGACUGGUGCA